UGCAGAGUGGCAUGAUCUCCUGGAUGAGAAAACUAGUAUGGAUAUUGACCAGGAUCGCAAACAAUGCACAUAGGUUUUCCAGAGACGUCUGGCCAAAUGCCAAGGGGAACCGGAUGCUGGAUUGCAUGGACAUUUUAUGUGUAACAGCAAGACUCUUCUUAUGCAAUGCCUUCCAUCUUACAGAUAACUUCCUGGCCGGGGCGGGAACAGAAUGACAUUGCAGAAAGAUAAUUUGUUCCAACAUUUCAGAAAGAAACGUGAAGGCGAAUGAACUUCCAAGCACCACCAAGGGCGGGCAAGAUAACAAGAGAAAACGUAGGAGCACAGUGCAUUUAUGAGGGAUGUUUGCAAUAGUGUGCAUCAAAAGUCAAGUUAGACUCUGUGAAAUCAAUCAAACUGAACCGAAAAGCCAAGAAGAAUCCCAGCACGCAUCUGCAGUUUUACAUAUCGUGCAUGCCCUGAUCCUAAGCUCCAACACUUAUCAAACAGCAGUUUCUACUGGAUGGUCCUCAGAAAAAGACCUUGUAUUCAAGCAUCUCCUCUUUAAGGGAUCCGUGGUUGAAGUUUCUGUAAUCUGGUGUGGCGUUAUCUUUCAUCUCCCCAAGGCCUCUUUCCUGCUGGAGCUAUGGAGUGUGACAAUGGUGUUUGUAUCCAAUCUGUCAAACGCCAUUAUCACACUAAAUAGUUACUGUUAGACAAGCCGUCAUUUCAGCAAAAAAAGGAGGGGGGGAAAGGAAGAGAAUUAUUUAAGUGAUAUAUUCCCUGGCUACAGGAUACAGCAACAGCAUGUCAUGACAACUCCUUGCUGUUUAGAAAUGAUGCCAAAGUAUCGUGCAAUAAAUAAUAUGCUCUGUUUUCUUAAAAGUA